CACGUAGGGCGCAAGCGUUGUCCGGAAUUAUUGGGCGUAAAGAGCUCGUAGGCGGUCUGUUGCGUCCGCUGUGAAAACUCGGGGCUUAACCCCCGAGCCUGCAGUGGAUACGGGCAGACUAGAGGUAGGUAGGGGAGAAUGGAAUUCCCGGUGUAGCGGUGAAAUGCGCAGAUAUCAGGAGGAACACCGAUGGCGAAGGCAGGUCUCUGGGCCGAUACUGACGCUGAGGAGCGAAAAGCGUGGGGGAGC
rnacentral:rRNA from 1 species